GCCGGGGUCGCCUAGCCUGGUCUAGGGCGCCGGACUCAUAAUCAACCGGGAUGAGCUAUCCGGUCUUCCCGGGUUCGAAUCCCGGCCCCGGCA
rnacentral:tRNA from 1 species